rnacentral:rRNA from 1 species
GACGAACGCUGGCGGCGUGGAUUAGGCAUGCAAGUCGAACGGUAUCAUCCUUUCGGGGGUGAGAGAGUGGCGAACUGGUGAGUAACACGUAGGUUAUCUACCCUCAAGACGGGGACAACCCAGGGAAACUUGGGCUAAUACCGGAUGUGAGCAACUUUUAGUUGUUUGAAAGGUGGCGUAAGCUGUCGCUUGGGGAUGAGCCUGCGUCCUAUUAGUUAGUUGGUGAGGUAACGGCUCACCUAGGCAAUGAUAGGUAGGCGGCCUUAACGGGUGGUCGCCCACACUGGGAUUGAGAUACGGCCCAGACUCCGUACGGGAGGCAGCAGUCGAGAAUAGUCUACAAUGGUCGGAAGACUGAUAGUGCGACGCCGCGUGAACGAUGAAUCCCUUCGGGGUUAAAGUUCUUUUAUAUGUGAGCAGUGCUUCUUAUAUUAACAGUAUGGGGAAGAGAUAUUAGCAUAUGAAUAAGCAACGGCUAACUCCGUGCCAGCAGCCGCGGUAAGACG